AGACCCGAAACCCGGUGAUCUAGCCAUGGGCAGGUUGAAGGUUGGGUAACACUAACUGGAGGACCGAACCGACUAAUGUUGAAAAAUUAGCGGAUGACCUGUGGCUGGGGGUGAAAGGCCAAUCAAACCGGGAGAUAGCUGGUUCUCCCCGAAAGCUAUUUAGGUAGCGCCUCGUGAAUUCAUCUCCGGGGGUAGAGCACUGUUUCGGCUAGGGGGCCAUCCCGGCUUACCAACCCGAUGCAAACUGCGAAUACCGGAGAAUGUUAUCACGGGAGACACACGGCGGGUGCUAACGUCCGUCGUGAAGAGGGAAACAACCCAGACCGCCAGCUAAGGUCCCAAAGUCAUGGUUAAGUGGGAAACGAUGUGGGAAGGCCCAGACAGCCAGGAUGUUGGCUUAGAAGCAGCCAUCAUUUAAAGAAAGCGUAAUAGCUCACUGGUCGAGUCGGCCUGCGCGGAAGAUGUAACGGGGCUAAACCAUGCACCGAAGCUGCGGCAGCGACACUGUGUGUUGUUGGGUAGGGGAGCGUUCUGUAAGCCUGCGAAGGUGGCCUGUGAGGGUUGCUGGAGGUAUCAGAAGUGCGAAUGCUGACAUAAGUAACGAUAAAGCGGGUGAAAAGCCCGCUCGCCGGAAGACCAAGGGUUCCUGUCCAACGUUAAUCGGGGCAGGGUGAGUCGACCCCUAAGGCGAGGCCGAAAGGCGUAGUCGAUGGGAAACGGGUUAAUAUUCCCGUACUUGGUGUUACUGCGAAGGGGGGACGGAGAAGGCUAUGUUGGCCGGGCGACGGUUGUCCCGGUUUAAGCGUGUAGGUGUGUGUUCCAGGUAAAUCCGGUUCACUUUAACACUGAGGCGUGACGACGAGGCACUACGGUGCUGAAGCAACAAAUGCCCUGCUUCCAGGAAAAGCCUCUAAGCAUCAGGUAACAUCAAAUCGUACCCCAAACCGACACAGGUGGUCAGGUAGAGAAUACCAAGGCGCUUGAGAGAACUCGGGUGAAGGAACUAGGCAAAAUGGUGCCGUAACU
rnacentral:rRNA from 1 species